GACCGCGUAGCUCAGUUGGCAGAGCAUUGGGCUAGUAUUCCAAAGGUCGUAGGUUCGAUUCCCACCGUGAUCA